UCAAAUAGUGAAUCAUUCUUUAGAUUUUGAUUAGGGCGGAUUCGUCCACCAUUGAAUAAACAUCUUCUCCUAACAUUCUUUUUUCUUGGGUUAACUGGGAUAUUUGGAAACCAGCUUUUAUGUCUAAUUGGUCUUGGAUACACAAAUCCAACUUAUGUUGCUGCCAUACAACCUACCAUUCCAGUAUUUACAUUCAUCUUGGCAGUCCUAAUGGGUAUAGAACGAGUGAACUUGCUCAGGACUAAAGGUCAGGCGAAGAUUGGAGGCACUCUCAUUUGUGUUUCUGGUGCUGUAUUUAUGUGUUUCUACCGUGGUUGGGCUUUGAUAGGAAAUAUGGAGCCUGAAUUUUCAGAACACAGUGAAAUAAUUGCCAGAGGUCAACCUGAACCUGUCGGAUGGCUAAUGUCUAGUUUUUUAGAGUUUGGGCUUGAUCAUUUUCACCUUGGAGUUUUGUGCUUAAAUGGAAACUGCAUGUGCAUGGCUGCAUUUCUGGCCAUUCAGGCUCCACUUUUAAAAAAGUAUCUUGCAAACAUAUCAGUCACUGCAUAUUCAUACUUCUUUGGUACUUUCUUGAUGGUGGUGACAUCAUUCUUUCUGACCAACGAAUCAACAGACUGGGCUCUAACACAGUCUGAGGUUUUAGCUGUAAUAAAUGCUGGCACUAUUGCAUCUGCACUUAAUUAUGGACUUCUGACAUGGUGCAAUAAGAUCUUGGGGCCUGCUUUGGUUGCUACAUACAAUCCACUUCAACCUGCUGCUUCUGCCUUCUUGUCCAGAAUUUUCCUUGGGAGCCCUAUCUAUUAGGGAAGGUUGAUGCUGCUCUUAUACUCCUUGGUAACAUGAUUUCAAGGGAUCUUAUAAAUAUGUUGGUUAUACCCCAAGAUGUCUUGGACCUCAGGUUAUUCAAACGAAUUCCAUCAAUGAAUGGGCAUCUGAGCAUUGUUCAGCACCUUUUUGAGCUCCUGAGUUGUGGGAUUGUCCAAGUAAUGCAGAUAUCGAUGAGAGAGCUGAUAUUUGGUCAUUAGGAUGCACUUUAUAUGCGAUAAUGUGAUAACUCUUUUUACCAUGUGAUUUAAGAUUUAUUGGUUUAAGUUUUUGGGUCUUUGUCUCCUGAGAGCUAUAAUAUAAUUUGAUGACAGUGUUCAAUGUUUUAAACUAAUUUGUGGAUUGU